rfam:Dichomitus squalens LYAD-421 SS1 unplaced genomic scaffold DICSQscaffold_19, whole genome shotgun sequence.
GGCCCAAUGGUCUAGUCGUAUGAUUCGCGCUUCGGGUUUUGAACCAUGUAUUUGCGCGAGGUCCCGGGUUCAAUUCCCGGUUGGGCCC